rnacentral:rRNA from 1 species
AUUGAACGCUGGCGGCAGGCCUAACACAUGCAAGUCGAACGGUAGCACAGAGAGCUUGCUCUCGGGUGACGAGUGGCGGACGGGUGAGUAAUGUCUGGGAAACUGCCCGAUGGAGGGGGAUAACUACUGGAAACGGUAGCUAAUACCGCAUAACGUCGCAAGACCAAAGUGGGGGACCUUCGGGCAUCACACCAUCGGAUGUGCCCAGAUGGGAUUAGCUAGUAGGUGGGGUAAUGGCUCACCUAGGCGACGAUCCCUAGCUGGUCUGAGAGGAUGACCAGCCACACUGGAACUGAGACACGGUCCAGACUCCUACGGGAGGCAGCAGUGGGGAAUAUUGCACAAUGGGCGCAAGCCUGAUGCAGCCAUGCCGUGUGUAUGAAGAAGGCCUUCGGGUUGUAAAGUACUUUCAGCGGGGAGGAAGGCGGUGAAGUUAAUAGCUUCACCGAUUGACGUUACCCGCAGAAGAAGCACCGGCUAACUCCGUGCCAGCCGCCGCAGUAA